rnacentral:rRNA from 1 species
GCCCUUAUAAAGCACCAAGGAGCAGGUAUCAGGCACAACCACUUAGCCCAAAACACCUUGCUACGCCACACCCACACGGGCACCCAGCAGUGAUAAAUAUUAAGCAAUGAGUGAAAACCAAUUUAAGCUCGACUUAGUUAUGAUCAUUAGGGCCGGUAAACCUCGUGCCAGCCACCGCGGUUAUACGAAGGGCCCAAAACAGCGGAUCCCGGCGUAAAUUGUGACUAGAGCACCUACUUAUAACACUGGGAAGUAAACAAAAGCCUAACCGUAAAACCUCGGCCAAAAGAAACACACCCUCCCAACCACAAAGUAGCUUGAACCCACGAAGACUAAGAAACAAACUAGGAUUAGAUACCCUACUAUGCUUAGUUGUUAACAUGACACUAAAAAACACCAGUGUUCGCCAGAGAAUUACAAGCGAAAAGCUUAAAACUCAAAGGACUUGGCGGUGCUCCGUAUUCGUCUUAGAGGAGCCUGUCCUAUAAUCGAUAACCCACGCUUUACCUUACCAUCUUUUGUUAAAACAGCCUAUAUACCGCCGUCGCAAAUUUACCCCAUGAGGGCAUAACAGUAAGUAAAAAAGUUAUACACUAGCACGUCAGGUCAAGGUGUAGCUAAUAAGAUGGAAGAGAUGGGCUACAUUUUCUAAAACAGAACACACGGCAAAGGGUAUUGAAAUAUUCCCUCAAAGGUGGAUUUAAUAGUAAGAUAGAAGA